CUCACUCUUCCUCGGUCCCACCCUCCCGUGCGUGCACGCCGGAGACCCACAGGCCUCCGUUGCUGUUCCUCCUGCCUCCUGUCUGUAGCUCCCUUCCUGCUCCUCUCCCAGGAUCCUUAAAACCAAACUCGGCGAUCAAGGUGCUGUGAAGGUUUUGGAAGGAAGGCAACAGCACAGCCCAAGUAUUCCUAAACCAAAAUAAACCCGAAGUCUGCAGGCACACUGGACUGCCUGAGCAUUGUUGACUUGGAGACGUUGAUUCAUUUGUUCCUGGUCUGUAUCAUUAAACGAAAAUUGUGUGUCGGGCGUCAGGAACCUGAUGUGAUGUUGCCUUGUCCAUCGUCCCUCCCGGUGCAUUUUAUCUCUGCACAUGCCUCUUCUCACUUGGAUAGACUCUGACGUGCCACUCCGCUGUCAGCAGGAGGUACCUGUCAAGUUCGCCGCUGCAGGCGCAUCUAAUGUGAUUGUGGACUUAGAAAGAACCAGAAAGCAUGUGCCCACAGUCUGCCUGUGUGAGACCGGAGCCAUUAGGACACUCCUUGGAAGUUAUCCCCCCAGCUAGCACCUCUUUGCUGUUUACACAGAGCUCCCAGGGAGCAGCCUCAGCAACCCCAAAAUGCAGAUGGAAAUUCUCUACAGGUGCUUUCAACAUGCUGACUUGUCCGUGUACACCUUUGGUAGGAAAGAGACUGGCUCCAUCACAUUCUUCUACAUCUGUCUUUCAAGUCAGCUUUGCACUGAUAAAGCUCAUAGUCAAUCCCAGAAUCAGAUAACACCAGCUAUCGAAGCCCAACAUGGUUCUGUCAUUAUUCUCCACCCAAGGAUGGGGACAUAUAGGAUCUCAGUUGGCCUUGGGAUCUGGAAAGACUCUUCUGGCCCUUUUCUUUCAUUUCCUCACUGUCUUCUCUCAAAGUCAUAAUAAGUUCUAAUUAAUCGGCCUUUUCCCUGAAAGGUGCACGUUGCUAAUCCUUAUUAAUCUCCAUUGAUUUCAGGAAGAAUUUCGCUAUCGUUUAAUAGUCUUUUUAAAAUGUUGAUAAGUCAACCUCUGAACUAGGUACUACUCAAUAUAGAAAGAAGCCAUAGUCCUUGGUCAUCACUGCAGGGAAUCCGUUUCUUUACUCUGUGAAUGUUAAAUAUAUGCCUGCUAGGACAGAAUGCUGUGUUAAAUCCAAAAGACCCAGUGAGGAAGAGUGUUCAGGGCUUAGGAAGCAAAUGCUUCAAAAAGCUAAACACCCAGGGAACUCCCUGAAAAAUCAUACCAUAUAGCCCAUAGCAAUUGGGAGAUUAGAGGUGUAAACCAGGUACACAUACUAGAUAAUGGAAUUAAUCUAACUUGGUGAGAAAAAGAAGACCCUGUGUGGAUUCACAGACAAGGUAACACAUGCAUGAAAAAUUGGAGUACUGCUGUCUACAUCCUGUGCGUUACUGUUCGACCCUGAGCAACUUUGAACUCUCUGACUUGCUUCCUCAACAGGAGAACAAUUAAUAAUUGAAUCAGAGGACAUUUUAGUAUCCAAAGAAAACAUACAUUCAAAGAAAUAAUUUUACAUUAAUGUUCACUAUAUGAAUUUAACCUAGAAGAGGGGAAAUUGCAAAGAGGGCUUUAAAAUAAGGAAGUUAUUAAUAUAGAGUGCAGUCAUCUACCUACAACUCAUCAGAGGCAAACUCCCUGGAUGUUAAUUGUCCUGCCUGGGAAACUCAGGAAGGAGUCUAUUUUCAUUCUAUGAACAAGAUGAAUAUGACAUAGGAUAAUGAAAGACAAGAAAAGGGAAGGGAAAGAAGAAAACAGGAUGGAGAAAUUGCAAAGAGACAUGAAGGAACCACACAGGAAACACACACAUCCACAGUCUCACUGUUUAUUUCUAAUGCCUGUGUUGCUGCAUUAAGAGUUGUUAAGAAAAUUCUAUAAUGAUUCAAAAGAGUCAUACUGUCACUUAUUCACCUUACUUUUGCUGAUUUAUUCUGUUAUUUUUCCUGUAUCUGUAGAAAUAUCCUUGUUCAAGUAUUCUACCCCCUCUCCAUUCUAUGAAGAGUACAUAAUCUAAGAGAGGCAGGGAUCUAAAUAAAGUUAUUAAAUCAUUAAAGUU